rnacentral:rRNA from 1 species
AGAGUUUUGAACUGGCUCAGGACGAACGCUGGCGGCGUGCUUAACACAUGCAAGUCGAACGAUGAACCUCCUUCGGGAGGGGAUUAGUGGCGAACGGGUGAGUAACACGUGGGCAAUCUGCCCUGCACUCUGGGACAAGCCCUGGAAACGGGGUCUAAUACCGGAUACUGAUCAUCUUGGGCAUCCUUGGUGAUCGAAAGCUCCGGCGGUGCAGGAUGAGCCCGCGGCCUAUCAGCUUGUUGGUGAGGUAAUGGCUCACCAAGGCGACGACGGGUAGCCGGCCUGAGAGGGCGACCGGCCACACUGGGACUGAGACACGGCCCAGACUCCUACGGGAGGCAGCAGUGGGGAAUAUUGCACAAUGGGCGAAAGCCUGAUGCAGCGACGCCGCGUGAGGGAUGACGGCCUUCGGGUUGUAAACCUCUUUCAGCAGGGAAGAAGCGAAAGUGACGGUACCUGCAGAAGAAGCGCCGGCUAACUACGUGCCAGCAGCCGCGGUAAUACGUAGGGCGCGAGCGUUGUCCGGAAUUAUUGGGCGUAAAGAGCUCGUAGGCCGGCUUGUCGCGUCGGUUGUGAAAGCCCGGGGCUUAACCCCGGGUCUGCAGUCGAUACGGGCAGGCUAGAGUUCGGUAGGGGAGAUCGGAAUUCCUGGUGUAGCGGUGAAAUGCGCAGAUAUCAGGAGGAACACCGGUGGCGAAGGCGGAUCUCUGGGCCGAUACUGACGCUGAGAGCGAAAG